rnacentral:rRNA from 1 species
GCCUACGGGAGGCAGCAGUGGGGAAUUGUUCGCAAUGGGCGCAAGCCUGACGACGCAACGCCGCGUGGAGGAUGAAGGUCUUCGGAUUGUAAACUCCUGUUGCCCGGGACGAAAUGUUCAGACCUAACACGUCUGAGUUUGACGGUACCGGGUGAGGAAGCCCCGGCUAACUCUGUGCCAGCACCCGCGGUAAU